GUCGAGGAUCUUUGGCAAUGGGCGAAAGCCUGACCAUGCGACGCCGCGUGCGGGAUGAAGGCUUUCGGGUCGUAAACCGCUGUUACGAGGGAAGAAAGCCCUUUCGGCUAACACCUGAGAGGGUUUGACGGUACCUCGGAAGAAAGCCACGGCUAACUCCGUGCCAGCAGCCGCGGUAAUACGGAGGUGGCAAGCGUUGCUCGGAUUCACUGGGUGUAAAGGGCGUGUAGGCGGCUUUGUAAGCCCUGUCUUAAAGGCACCGGCUCAACCGAUGUUUUCGACAGGGGACUGCAGAGCUUGAGGAUGGAAGAGGUGAGCGGAACUCCCGGUGUAAGGGUGAAAUCUGUAGAUAUCGGGAAGAACACCAGUGGCGAAGGCGGCUCACUAGGCCAUUUCUGACGCUGAGAUGCGAAAGCUAGGGGAGCAAACAGGAUUAGAUACCCCGGUAGUCC
rnacentral:rRNA from 1 species